AUAUUUGAGAGUUUGAUCCUGGCUCAGGAUGAACGCUGGCGGCGUGCCUAACACAUGCAAGUCGAGCGAUCUCUUCGGAGAGAGCGGCGGACGGGUGAGUAACGCGUGGGUAACCUGCCCUGUACACACGGAUAACAUACCGAAAGGUAUACUAAUACGGGAUAACAUAUGAAAGUCGCAUGGCUUUUGUAUCAAAGCUYCGGCGGUACAGGAUGGACCCGCGUCUGAUUAGCUAGUUGGUAAGGUAAUGGCUUACCAAGGCAACGAUCAGUAGCCGACCUGAGAGGGUGAUCGGCCACACUGGAACUGAGACACGGUCCAGACUCCUACGGGAGGCAGCAGUGGGGAAUAUUGCACAAUGGGCGAAAGCCUGAUGCAGCAACGCCGCGUGAGCGAUGAAGGCCUUCGGGUCGUAAAGCUCUGUCCUCAAGGAAGAUAAUGACGGUACUUGAGGAGGAAGCCCCGGCUAACUACGUGCCAGCAGCCGCGGUAAUACGUA
rnacentral:rRNA from 1 species